AUGGCGUCGCCGCCGGCCGCGCUCCCGGAGGACAUCGCGCUGGAGAUCCUCGCGCGCGUGCCGGACGCGGCGGGCCUCUUCCGCUGCGCCGCGGCGUGCAGGCGCUGGAGGACGCUGGUGGCCGACCCGUCCUUCCUCCGCCGCCGCUGGCCGGACGGCGCGCGCCACCCCUCCUCGCUCCUCGGCUUCUUCGGCCAGGAGUGGUGCCGCCGCCCCGGCGGAGAGGAUCGCGGGGACGUCCCUGAUUCGCCGGGCUUCGUCCGCGCGCCGGGGUCGGUCCUCGGGUCCGAACACCCCUUCCUGGGCUCCUUCGUGCCCGGCGCCGCCGGCAUCUUCGACCGCGCGGUGCCGCUCGCCUCGCAUCGCGGCCUCCUCCUCGUGCGCUUCGUCCCAGCCGGCGGCGCGGGCGCGGACCCGAGCGCCGACGUGGACCGCCUGGCCGUGUGCAACCUGCACUCCGGCGCAUGCGACGUGCUCCCCCCGCUCGAGCGCGGCUGGUUCUUCGACUACGUGGACGCGAGCGCGUACGCCGUCGUGAGCCAGGGGCCGGCGUCCUUCAAGGUGCUGAUCGUCGGCUACAACAACGAGGGCAGCCAGCAGUACGACAUCCGGACGUUCUCGUCCGGCGGCGAGCCGAGCUGGAGCGCGCCGAGCAAGCUCUUCAACCCGAUAGAGCACGGCAUCUUCGGGCCGUUGAAGCAGCGCGGCGCCGUGGUGCGCCACGGGACGGUGCACUGGCUCAUCUGGGACCUCGUCGACUUUCACGCCAUCGACGUGGACGCCAUGACCGGCCGCGUGUCCCUGCAGAAGCUCCCGGCCCCGAGACCGCGCGACAUGGAAUACCACCUCUACGACACGCCACGCCUGAGCGUCGCGGCCGACGAGACGGCCCUGUCGUCGCUCUGCCUGUUCAGGGAGCCCCUCCGAGUAGAGACCUGGACGAGGGGGGACGUCUGCGAGGAGGGCGAUGGGCAUUGCGGGCGAGACUGGUGCCGUGCUAGGGUGGUGGAGCUGCGACCACCCGAGCAGAAGCAAAUCGACACGCCGGUGUGCAUGUGCUUGGGGGAGAGGAGCGGCACGUUGCUCAUCAAGGACCUUCACCGGUGCAUGUACAUCGCGGAUCUGGAAAGUGGCGCCAUGGAGGAGACGACCGACAAGCAGUUUUGCCGUGGUCUCGACGGCUGCAAGACGGCGUUCCCAGUGGAGAUCGACUGGCCUGCCUUCUUCAAGUGUCGCCUUGGUGGAAAGUCAGGUGUUUAA
rnacentral:rRNA from 1 species